rnacentral:tRNA from 1 species
GCUCCCCUAGCCCAAUGGUAGGGCGUCAGACUUCUAAUCUGAAGGUUGCGGGUUCGAGUCCCGCGGGGAGUUC